AUACGUAGGUGACAAGCGUUAUCCGGAUUUACUGGGCGUAAAGGGCGUGUAGGCGGUCUUGCAAGUCAGAAGUGAAAUUCCUGAGCUCAACUCGGGCGCUGCUUCUGAAACUGCAGGACUUGAGUGCUGGAGGGGAUAGCGGAAUUCCUAGUGGAGCGGUAAAAUGCGCAGAUAUUAGGAAGAACACCGGUGGCGAAGGCGGCUUUCUGGCAAGUAACUGACGCUGAGGCGCAAAAGCGUGGGUAGCAAACAGGAUUAGAUACCCUGGUAGCCCACGCCGUAAACGAUGAAUACUAGGUGUAGGGGGCUUCCACGACUUCUGUGCCGUAGCUAACGCAUUAAGCGCCCCGCCUGGGGAGUACGGCCGCAAGGCUAAAACUCAAAUGAAUUGACGGGG
rnacentral:rRNA from 1 species